GACGAACCGUGCGAACGUUGUUCGGAAUCACUGGGCUUAAAGGGCGCGUAGGCGGCUUCGCAAGUCAGGGGUGAAAUCUUUCGGCUCAACCGGAAAAGUGCCUCUGAUACUGCGGAGCUCGAGGGAGGUAGGGGCAGACGGAACUUCCGGUGGAGCGGUGAAAUGCGUUGAUAUCGGAAGGAACGCCGGUGGCGAAAGCGGUCUGCUGGCCCUCUACUGACGCUGAGGCGCGAAAGCCAGGGGAGCAAACGGG
rnacentral:rRNA from 1 species